AUUCCAGCUCCAAUAGCGUAUAUUAAAGUUGUUGCAGUUAAAAAGCUGGUAGUUGGAUUUGUGGCAGUGCUCGACUGCCUUUUUUGGACGCUCUGAGCACAGCCAUCCUUGGGAGGAAUUCGUGUGGCAUUAGGUUGUUGCAUGGGGGAUACUCAACAUUUACUGUGAAAAAAUCAGCGCGUUCAAAGCAAGCUUAUGCUCUUGAAUGUAUUAGCAUGGAAUAAUAAGAUAGGACUUUAGUACUAUUUUGUUGGUUUGCGUAUUAAGGUAAUGAUUAAUAGGGACAGUUGGGGGUAUUCGUAUUCCAUUGUCAGAGGUGAAAUUCUUGGAUUUUUGGAAGACGAACUACUGCGAAAGCAUUUACCAAGGAUGUUUUC
rnacentral:rRNA from 1 species